CUCCUUCCUCCAUCUACUACCUCGUUCCUCCACCUUCCAUCAUUCAUGCUCCUUAACUCAUUCAAUGAAGGUAUUCACAAAUUCACUAAAUUUAAAAUGGUAUCAGAGCGUCUCAUUGAUCUUCCAUAACCUAUAAUUUUUUCUGAUUCAUCGCGAUUUCUUCUUGGCACUGUAACAAUCAAAGCUCCAUCAAUACAAGCCAACGUAACAAGCUCAGGACGAGCCGAUUCAGAUUAAGCUCUAACUCAUUCAACAACAAACCCAAAGGAGACCCAUUUGUCUAAACCACAAUUUUUGUAAUACGGGAUGGAUCUCCACAAUGUAAGCCCUCAGUUCUCUUCCACGAAAAUGAACCAAUUGGACUUCUCUUCCACCUCAACAUCAGAUUCCGUCUUCAAUGGACGCUUUUUGGGACUCAGAUUUCUCGAUUGAUAGAGUGAUCGGAAGUGAUUGGAUUAAAUUACUGAUGGAUUAAAAAUUGACUUUGGCCCCUUUUUUCUGCUCUCAGUUUUUUUAGUUGCUUCUUCGAGCGACGACGAUUCGUU
rnacentral:lncRNA from 1 species